rnacentral:miRNA from 1 species
UCCCAGACCCUCUCCAUCCCCUGCGUCCUGAGUACGCUUCCCGAGGCCAGAUGAUGGAAGCUGAGUGGGA